CUAACAGCUGUGAAGCGCGCACUUUGCAAUUGCCAUUUCUCUUUUGGUGACGAAGAUAGAUAUUCGGAGAGAACAAAAUACGGAUGAAACGUUGUGCUACCGACACUUUGUUAAUCAGCUAUCUCCGUCCCUGAAUAAUGCAAAUCAGAGCGAUGCAGCAGGAAGAGGAACGGAAACUUUUUCGAGUACUCGAGACUUUGGAAAUGCAUAUGAAAUUGAUGUGGUUGAGGCUGCGAUAGUAAUUUUCCCCUUGUACGCUGCUCAUAGAAUAAUUGAUGUUAUUAAGUACUGUUAUUAUUAUUCACAAUGAUAAUUUUUAUAUUGUAGAAUAAUUGAUACUGUUUAUAGAAUAAGUUAUAUGUUAUUAGUAUAAUGUAUUCUAAGUAUGUGGAGUUAAAUGUAAUCAAAUACAUUUUUUGAAUUAAAAAUAA